rnacentral:rRNA from 1 species
UAAUACAUGCAAGUCGAGCGAACAGAUAAGGAGCUUGCUCCUUUGACGUUAGCGGCGGACGGGUGAGUAACACGUGGAUAACCUACCUAUAAGACUGGGAUAACUUCGGGAAACCGGAGCUAAUACCGGAUAACAUAUUGAACCGCAUGGUUCAAUAGUGAAAGGCGGCUUUGCUGUCACUUAUAGAUGGAUCCGCGCCGUAUUAGCUAGUUGGUAAGGUAACGGCUUACCAAGGCAACGAUACGUAGCCGACCUGAGAGGGUGAUCGGCCACACUGGAACUGAGACACGGUCCAGACUCCUACGGGAGGCAGCAGUAGGGAAUCUUCCGCAAUGGGCGAAAGCCUGACGGAGCAACGCCGCGUGAGUGAUGAAGGUCUUCGGAUCGUAAAACUCUGUUAUCAGGGAAGAACAAAUGUGUAAGUAACUGUGCACAUCUUGACGGUACCUGAUCAGAAAGCCACGGCUAACUACGUGCCAGCAGCCGCGGUAAUACGUAGGUGGCAAGCGUUAUCCGGAAUUAUUGGGCGUAAAGCGCGCGUAGGCGGUUUUUUAAGUCUGAUGUGAAAGCCCACGGCUCAACCGUGGAGGGUCAUUGGAAACUGGAAAACUUGAGUGCAGAAGAGGAAAGUGGAAUUCCAUGUGUAGCGGUGAAAUGCGC